AACGAACGCUGGCGGCAUGCCUAACACAUGCAAGUCGAACGAAGCCUUCGGGCUUAGUGGCGCACGGGUGCGUAACGCGUGGGAAUCUGCCCCUUGCUUCGGAAUAACAGUUAGAAAUGACUGCUAAUACCGGACGAAGUCUUCGGACCAAAGAUUUAUCGGCAAGGGAUGAGCCCGCGUAGGAUUAGGUAGUUGGUGGGGUAAAGGCCUACCAAGCCGACGAUCCUUAGCUGGUCUGAGAGGAUGAUCAGCCACACUGGGACUGAGACACGGCCCAGACUCCUACGGGAGGCAGCAGUGGGGAAUAUUGGACAAUGGACGCAAGUCUGAUCCAGCAAUGCCGCGUGAGUGAUGAAGGCCUUAGGGUUGUAAAGCUCUUUUACCAGGGAUGAUAAUGACAGUACCUGGAGAAUAAGCUCCGGCUAACUCCGUG
rnacentral:rRNA from 1 species